UACUCACUAACCCACUCACCUACUCACUCACCCACCAACCCAGUCACUUACCCACCUGGGUGGGGGUGGUCUCCAUUCCACUGCACGAACUGAAACUCGCUCAACCCCACCUGGAACCUUCACCAAGCCCCAACCUGACCUGACCCUCACUCCAUCCCUCCAACUCCACCUUCGCCCCAAUGCAACGCUGACUGCCCACCUCAUCCACCGGUUCCCUAGCUCCGCCAACCACCGCUGGUCUACGCACGGCCAUGGGACCAUUGUGCCUCUCGGACCUCCGAGAGGCUGGGAAUCCCUGUCUCACUUUGCCCGUCUCGACUUAAGACUGUCGUCUCUGGUGCAGGCCAAUGGGCCUCAAAGACGAUGCCUCAAGUUAUCGGAGCACGUUUAGUUUGCAUGUUUUAUUUUGCGCAAAGUACGUGUGGCCAAUGCAGGCCUGAUGCCUUGCAAAAAGUUUAUCCAUCGGGCGUUUGAACAUGCGAACACCUUUAUUUUUUUCUGCCGGAAAGGGUAAAAAGCUCUUCUUCAUUUCAUCGGCGUAACCGCUAACACCCCGUGCGGAGCGGCGAGCACGUCGCCGUGUGGAGGGGUUACCGCUCUCGUGGACGGGCGAGGUGAGCGGGGCGGGGGAGACUCACGGCCACGCCCAGGGCCUCUAGGGAACAGCGCCCCCGCUGGCCGGAGCUGCCGUUGCUGGAGCACGACGUCUCCUGCACCGAGAACUCCACGUGGAACCUCAGCCCCACCACCACCUGGGGGGGGGGGGGACAGCAGGCGAGCGGCAGAACGACAGCAGCGGCGGCGGCGGCGGCAUCGCCACCCGUGACACAGCACGCUUUGGGCACCACGCGGCCAGCGGCAACGCGAACUGCUUGUGCUGCGCGUUGGCCGAGUUGAAGACUCUGAGCGCCGCAUCGACCGCAACCUGGGCCUCCUCCCUGGAAACCGGCACGGCACAUCCGGAGCAGCCGGAUCCCCAGGUGAC